UACGUAGGGUGCGAGCGUUAAUCGGAAUUACUGGGCGUAAAGCGUGCGCAGGCGGUGAUGUAAGUCAGGUGUGAAAUCCCCGGGCUUAACCUGGGAACUGCAUUUGUGACUGCAUGGCUAGAGUGCGGCAGAGGGGGAUGGAAUUCCGCGUGUAGCAGUGAAAUGCGUAGAUAUGCGGAGGAACACCGAUGGCGAAGGCAAUCCCCUGGGCCUGCACUGACGCUCAUGCACGAAAGCGUGGGGAGCAAACAGG
rnacentral:rRNA from 1 species